AUACUAUUGCGCGGUUACCGCGGCUGCUGGCACGGAGUUAGCCGGUGCUUCUUCUGUGAGUGAUGUCCUUCCUGCCGGCUAUUAACCCGCAGGCCUUCUUCCUCACUGAAAGUGCUUUACAACCCGAAGGCCUUCUUCACACACGCGGCAUGGCUGGAUCAGGGUUGCCCCCAUUGUCCAAUAUUCCCCACUGCUGCCUCCCGUAGGAGUCUGGGCCGUGUCUCAGUCCCAGUGUGGCUGAUCAUCCUCUCAGACCAGCUACGGAUCGUCGCCUUGGUGAGCCGUUACCUCACCAACCAGCUAAUCCGACAUAGGCUCAUCCGAUAGCGCGAGGCCCGAAGGUCCCCCGCUUUCCCCCGUAGGGCGUAUGCGGUAUUAGCCUGGGUUUCCCCAGGUUAUCCCCCGACUACCGGGCAGAUUCCUAUGCAUUACUCACCCGUCCGCCGCUCGCCACCAGGGAGCAAGCUCCCCGUGCUGCCGCUCGACUUGCAUGUGUUAGGCCUGCCGCCAGCGUUCAAU
rnacentral:rRNA from 1 species